rnacentral:rRNA from 1 species
CAUGCACGUGUAAGUGCAAGCCAGCACAAGGUGAAACCGCGAAUGGCUCAUUAAAUCAGUCAUGAUUCAUUGGAUGAUGACCACACAUACUUGGAUAACUGUGGUAAUUCUAGAGCUAAUACAUGCAAACACAGUGCCCGACCCUCACGGGAAGGGACGCUUUUAUUAGAUCAAAAUCAAUGCGGUCGUUCGGCUUCGGUCGGGCGGCCGGUUGUUCUUGGUGACUCUGAAUAAAGGAAGGGAUCGCACGGUCUCGCACCGGCGACGCAUCCUUCAAAUGUCUGCCUUAUCAACUGUCGAUGGUAGGCUCCUUGCCUACCAUGGUUGUAACGGGUAACGGGGAAUCAGGGUUCGAUUCCGGAGAGGGAGCCUGAGAAACGGCUACCACAUCCAAGGAAGGCAGCAGGCGCGCAAAUUACCCACUCCCGGCACGGGGAGGUAGUGACGAAAAAUAACGAUGCGGGACUCAUCCGAGGCCCCGUAAUCGGAAUGAGGACACUUUAAAUCCUUUACCGAGUACCUAUUGGAGGGCAAGUCUGGUGCCAGCAGCCGCGGUAAUUCCAGCUCCAAUAGCGUAUAUUAAAGUUGUUGCGGUUAAAAAGCUCGUAGUUGGACUUGUGUCCCGCGCUGCCGGUUCGCCGCCCGUCGGCGUUCAACUGGCAUGUCGCGGGGACGUCCUGCCGGCGGCCCGCGGCCCGGCGGUGUGCGAGGUGGCCUUCUGGCUCCGUACGACGGGGGUCCGCCCCCGCGUCCGGCGGAUGCUGUCGGUUACACCGAGUCCCGCCGUGCGCCAAGGGCCCUUGACUAGCCGUUGGGGUGCUCUUCACCGAGUGUCUCGAUGGGCCGGCACGUUUACUUUGAACAAAUUAGAGUGCUCAACGCAGGCCAUGCUGUGCCGUUGAAUAUCUGUGCAUGGAAUAAUGGAAGAGGACCUCGCCUCCAGUUUGUUGGUUUUCGGAAGGCGAGGUAAUGAUUAAGAGGGACUGACGGGGGCAUUCGUAUUGCGACGUUAGAGGUGAAAUUCUUGGAUCGUCGCAAGACGGACCGAAGCGAAAGCAUUUGCCAAGGAUGUUUUCAUUAAUCAAGAACGAAAGUUAGAGGUUCGAAGGCGAUCAGAUACCGCCCUAGUUCUAACCAUAAACGAUGCCAGCUGGCGAUCCGCCCAAGUUCCUCCGAUGACUAGGCGGGCAGCCCCCCCGGGAAACCUAAGCUUUUGGGUUCCGGGGGAAGUAUGGUUGCAAAGCUGAAACUUAAAGGAAUUGACGGAAGGGCACCACCAGGAGUGGAGCCUGCGGCUUAAUUUGACUCAACACGGGAAACCUCACCAGGCCCGGACACCGGAAGGAUUGACAGAUUGAGAGCUCUUUCUUGAUUCGGUGGGUGGUGGUGCAUGGCCGUUCUUAGUUGGUGGAGCGAUUUGUCUGGUUAAUUCCGAUAACGAACGAGACUCUGGCCUACUAACUAGUCGCGGGCCGCGCUCGGUCGGUCCCCGGCCGGCGGCGGUCUUCUCGUCCCGUACGUUCCUCCGAAUCGUGCGGGCGGGUGCCGUCGUCCGCGUCGGGCCGCCGGGUUGUCGGUCCAGCCCGGUAUCAGCCGCAAGGAUAGCUACCGGCGCAACUCAAAUCUUCUUAGAGGGACAGGCGGCUUCUAGCCGCACGAGAUUGAGCAAUAACAGGUCUGUGAUGCCCUUAGAUGUUCUGGGCCGCACGCGCGCUACACUGAAGGAAUCAGCGUGUUUUAUCCCUGCCCGAGAGGGCCGGGUAACCCGUUGAACCUCCUUCGUGCUAGGGAUUGGGGCUUGCAAUUGUUCCCCAUGAACGAGGAAUUCCCAGUAAGUGCGAGUCAUAAGCUCGCGUUGAUUACGUCCCUGCCCUUUGUACACACCGCCCGUCGCUACUACCGAUUGAAUGAUUUAGUGAGGUCUUCGGAACGGUGCGCGGCGAUCCUCCGGGUCUCGCUCGCGUCGCUGUGAAGAUGACCGAACUUGAUCAUUUAGAGGAAGUAAAAGUCGUAACAAGGUUUCC